UUGGGCAAGUGCGGAGGUGGGCUAGCGGCGUGGUGGCUUUUGUGGUUGGGAUGGGCCGGCUAUGAGGUUUCGGCCCAAGGCCGGUUAGGGUAGUUAGAGUAGUUAGUUUUAAUUAAAAUUUGAAUCCACUCAAAUCAAAAUCGAAAUACAAUCCAAAUGGCACACUAUCAUUUAAUCAUUCUAUAUUUUCAAAUUUAAUUCAAAUUAUUCUAGAAAUUCAGGUGAGAUCAAUGAAGACACUCU
rnacentral:lncRNA from 1 species